rnacentral:lncRNA from 1 species
AUGGAUCACAAUCACAUUGUGAUCCUUUCAGAAGAAUAAGUAAUAUCCCAAACUCUUUUAGGAUAUACUUUGAAAUGAGCUUUAUAGACCUAGCCUCUAAUAUAUCCGCCUGCUAUCCUUGACAUAGGCUAGACAUCUUUGAACCUUGAAAUAAUCAAGAUUUGAUUAUCACUAUACCAUAUCUUAUAUGAUAUAGUAGGAAUAGAUUUAGAGAGAACCCAAUUUUAUAGGUAGAUUUUAAAAAUAAAGCAUAUCUCUAAAGAAAUAAAAAUAAAUCAGUAAAGUCCAUC